AACCAACAGGGAUUGCCUUAGUAACGGCGAGCGAAGCGGCAAUAGCUCAAAUUUGAAAUCUGGCGUCUUUGGCGUCCGAGUUGUAAUUUCAAGAAGUGUCUUCUGGUUUGGCCCUUGCAUAUGUUCCUUGGAACAGGACGUCAUAGAGGGUGAGAAUCCCGUAUAUGGUGAGGUGCCCAUUUCCUUUGUAAGACGCUCUCUAAGAGUCGAGUUGUUUGGGAAUGCAGCUCUAAGUGGGUGGUAAAUUCCAUCUAAAGCUAAAUAUUGGCGAGAGACCGAUAGCGAACAAGUACUGUGAAGGAAAGAUGAAAAGAACUUUGAAAAGAGAGUGAAAAAGUACGUGAAAUUGCUGAAAGGGAAGGGCUUGAGAUCAGACUUGGUAUUCAGUGAUCAGCUGUCUUUCGGGACUGUGCACUCGCUGUUUACUGGGCCAACAUCAGUUUGGAUGGCGAGAUAAUGACAAUUGAAUGUGGCUCUCUCUUCGGGGGGAGUGUUAUAGCUUUUGUUGAUAUCGCCUAUCUGGAUUGAGGACCGCGCUUCGGCUAGGAUGUUGGCGUAAUGAUCUUAAGCCACCCGUCUUGAAACACGGACCAAGGAGUCUAACGUCUAUGCGAGUGUUUGGGUGUAAAACCC
rnacentral:rRNA from 1 species